GGGAGUCUACCGGGGGAGCGAGGGCUGGGGGCGCGCGCGCGCGCCCGUGCCCGGACCGUCCGCCGCGGCCGCUCGCUCUUCCGUCUCCCGCCUCGUGCCACCGUCUCGUUCAGCCCCCUCGGCCCUUCCGCCCGCCUCCAGCCGCCGGCCCGCAGAAGCAGACCUGGAGAUAAGGAUUCAGGUGCAAGUGGUAUAUAUGCAAGAUGACUCCAUGAAGCACUGGUGAGAGAGUGGAGAAGUGAAGCAAGGAAAGAAAGACGAUCAGAGGGGCAUUCAUGAGUCAUUUAGCACCGUGGACAGCCCAUUGGGGAACUCUGGGAGUGCCUCAGCAUUACUGCCCCCUUCCCUGAGGUCUAAGAGGCUCAUCUUGUAUAUAUCCUGCCCCAGAUCUGGAAGCAGCCAUUUCUCUUCAGUUCCUUUCAGUUGGGAGUGUUGUUUGGAGACCACGAAAUCUGGAUACUCCCAUAUCUGAGUACACACUCCCUGAGACCAGACACUCCCCACCUGAGUUCACUGCUAUAUUCUGGUGCCUGAAGCAGUGCCUGGCACACGGAAGAGUCUCAAAGGCCCAAGAUGAAGGAAGAGAUGAGUGCAUUAAUGAAUGAGUCAAUCAAUCAAUCUGCUAAGCAGACAAAAUAAAGGUAAAAAUGGA